rnacentral:rRNA from 1 species
GACGAACGCUGGCGGCGUGCUUAACACAUGCAAGUCGAACGGAAAGGCCCUGCUUUUGUGGGGUGCUCGAGUGGCGAACGGGUGAGUAACACGUGAGUAACCUGCCCUUGACUUUGGGAUAACUUCAGGAAACUGGGGCUAAUACAGGAUAGGAGCUCCUGCUGCAUGGAGGGGGUUGGAAAGUUUCGGCGGUUGGGGAUGGAUUCGCGGCUUAUCAGCUUGUUGGUGGGGUAGUGGCUGACCAAGGCUUUGGCGGGUAGCCGGCCUGUGAGGGUGACCGGCCACAUUGCGACUGAGAUACGGCCCAGACUCCUACGGGAGGCAGCAGUGGGGAAUAUUGCACAGUGAGCGGAAGCCUGAUACAGCGGCGCCGCGUUCGGGAUGACGGCCUUCGGGUUGUAAACCGCUUUCGCCUGUGACGAAGCGUGAGUGACGGUAAUGGGUAAAGAAGCACCGGCUAACUACGUG